rnacentral:lncRNA from 9 species
GAGUCAGAUGCCAUCACUUGCUACCUGAGACGGGGUGGAGAGGGUCCAGAAGUGUUAUCUACGUGGAGUUGUCUCCACAGGGAUGGAAAUACCAGAAGUGGGAAGACGAGUCUCCCGGUAGCUAUCUCACAGGUUUGGUGCGAAAGUGAAAUAAAGUUGACCCCAUCCUCACUUGCUGGAGGCAGGAGAUGUGAUUCAAUGUGUCAGAGAACUUCCUAAACGACAAGACAGCAAUUUUUUAAAGUUAACUUAAAAAAGAAAAGAAAAGAAAGAAAGCUCAUGUCCUUGGCUGAUGAGCGUGGAGAAGACCUUGGGAUGGUUUUCAGAGAGACGGAAGCCUUAGCACAGGCCUGCUGCUGCACGCAAAUAUUUGCUUAAAUUUGAUUCAACAAAUAUUUAUUGAGCAUCUGUCAUAUGCCAAGUGCCAGGGAUACUGGAAUGAAAAAAAGAUGAGCAAAAUUUCUACCCUCCUUGAGAUGAUUCCUGGUGGGGAACCCAAUGAACAAACCCAUAGAUACGUAAUCAGAAUCUGGCACACAGUAGGCAAACAAAUUUUGAAUUCAUGAAAAGGUGAAAAAAAAGAAUUCAACUCUUUUGCAAGAUGAAGAGCUGAUAAGUGGACAAGACACAGCGAGGACUUGGCUAUAGGCUUUGAACCUGCAGAGGGAAAGAGUGACACCAGCGAUACAUGCUCUUGCUUUAUGCUCUCGGGCUGGAGCCUGUAAUCCUGUUGGAGUCGUUAAUCUGGUUGCAGUUCGCUCUUAUCCAAUUCUGUAUGCUUCUUAGAUCCGGAAACAGGCGUGCUCAGGCCUUGUGGGUCCAUCUGCUCUGCCCGGUUAGGUGUCGUCCCGCCACCCGAGAAGAAUCCAUUGGAUCCGGUAAAGGCUUCGCGUUCCUUCUCAGCCACAAAGACAGCGCCGCAUUUCAAACUGCCCAGAGCCCCGGAGUCUACCCCGUGGGCUCUGCUGACCAGCCUCAGGGGGCCACGCUCUGCGUCAGCUUCUGCGUCACUCAGGACACCAUUGCCCCUUGAGUCCUCAUUACUGUCCUCCAAAAUGUUAAAAAUAUGAUUCUCCUAUGAGGGUUAACAUAGUAAAAUCCAGAGUUUCCAUGUGCCUCGGGGGGUUAAGGAUCCGACGUCACGGCAGUGGCUCAGGUUGGUGCUGAGGCACAGGUUCAAUCCUUGCUGUGAGGACUUGCAGACAAAAAAAAAAAAAGAAAAAAAAUGUAAAAUCCAUACAUAAUGCAUUCGAUUAUCUAUUUAUGGAAGACAGACAGGGGAAAGCUCUUCUGUAAAUGGGGAGCUGCAUGAUGUGGGAAUAAUAACAGGAGGGGGGCAUUGAUGGGCUGGCCUGGAGUGUAAUUGACUCAGGACAGGAAAGCCUGAUGAAAAGGAUCAUUCCUUUCCAAAGAGACGCUACCAGAGCAGAGUGCUAAAGAGCAGGAUGCCAGGAAUCAGAGCUGGAUUCAAAUCCCUGCCAGUCGUGGGUGACUUUUGUGCAACCACUUAAUCUUUAUGGGAAUCAGUUUUUACAUCCAUUAAAAGAAGGUAAUUGAUGUGUCUCCA